CGAACGGGUGAGUAACACGUGAGUAACCUGCCCCGAAGACUGGGAUAACGACCGGAAACGGUCGCUAAUACCGGAUACCCCAUUAGAUCGCAUGGUCCGAUGAGGAAAUGAAUUUCGCUUCGGGAGGGGCUCGCGGGCUAUCAGCUUGUUGGUGGGGUAAUGGCCCACCAAGGCUGCAACGGCUAGCUGGUCUGAGAGGACGACCAGCCACACUGGGACUGAGACACGGCCCAG
rnacentral:rRNA from 1 species